rnacentral:rRNA from 1 species
CGCCUGUUUAUCAAAAACAUGUCUUUUUAGUUAUUUAAUAUAAAGUCUGACCUGCCCACUGAAUUUAUUUUUGAAGGGCCGCAGUAUUUUGACUGUGCAAAGGUAGCAUAAUCAUUAGUCUUUUAAUUGAAGGCUGGUAUGAAUGGUUGGAUGAGGUACAAGCUGUGUCAUAAAAAUUAAUAUUUGAAUUUAACUUUUUAGUCAAAAGGCUAAAAUUUAAUUGAAAGACGAGAAGACCCUAUAGAGCUUUAUAUAAUGAUUAUUUAAUUUAUUAAGAUUUAUUAAAUUUAAUU